rnacentral:misc_RNA from 1 species
GAAUUUAAGUAGCACAAUACUUUUACUUAAACUGUUUGUGAUCCAACAGAAGAGUUCAGUGCCAUUGCAACCACCGACGAGUUCAUAUUAACUUCGGUGGCGCCUUGCCUGCAUUGGAACUUAUUCUGAGCUGCUAAAAAAGAAGAAACAAAUAUUAAAGCGUGUGUACUGAAAAUUACUGAUCUCACGAAUAUAGAUAAUAAGUAAACAAAACGUAAAAGUACGCGUCUAUUAAUAUAAAAGACAAAGCAAAUAAAACCAAAAGCUUAAAAAAUAAAACAAAAUGUUUCGCGGUCGAUUUCAAUCCUUCUAUCGCUACAUGCAACAGCCGCUUAGCGCUAUACAACAACUGCGUCUGGCGCCCGCCGCGCAUUUGCAGCCAUUGACUACACGCAGUGCAUCGUUGGAACAGCAGAUAUUUCAGCAUCAACUGGCAGAAAAAACAACUGAAGAUGAAUGGGCGAAUGCAAAGGAAUACAAGGAAAUACCAGGACCUUCUAGUAUCGGACUAAUGAUGGACUUCAUGCCAGGCGGUAAAUUGUAUGGCGCGAAUUUUUUGAAAAUGUAUAACACACUACGCCAACGUCAUGGUGACAUUUUCGUCAUAAGUGGUUCAUUUGGACGUUCCGAUCUGAUUUGCACUUACAACCCAAUCGAUUUUGAAAAAGUAUUUCGAACUGAAGGUGUUUGGCCAAUACGCAAGGGCAUUGAGAGCAUCAGAUAUUAUAGAGAGGUAGAAAAUCCGGAUGCCUACGGCGGUGUUUUUGGUCUAGUGGGGGAGCAAGGCGAGCGCUGGUUCAAUAUACGUCAGAAGGUCAAUCCCAUAAUGAUGAAGAUACAAAACAUACGUGAGGUAUUACCGGAAAUUGACACAAUUUCAAUGGAGUUUGUGGACAAAAUCACCGACAUGCGUGACACUGAGACCGGCCUGCUCAACACAGACUUGCUCACGGAGCUGCGCAUGUGGUCAUUUGAGUCCAUCUGCUAUGUAACGCUCAACUCGCGUCUACAUCUCAUCACCGGCAAGGCUGAUGCAGCUGCAUUGCGCAUGUCUGACGCCAUGUCGGAGUUUAUGCAGUACACUUACGAUCACGAUAUAGCGCCUUCAAUCUGGCGUUACUAUCAAACGUCCAGUUUCAAGCGUCUUAUGCGCUUACACGAUGAACUCACGGAGAUUACAAGAAAGUUUGUGGAUACAGCGCUGCAGCGCAUCGAAGCAGAUGACAAUAAAGCGGCGAGGAAAUCUGUGUUUGAGAAACUUUUAAGUCUCGAUAGGAAUAUAGCGGUGGUGAUGGCGAUCGAUAUGUUGUUUGGCGGCUUGGACACGACAUCCUCCACAGUCAUAACUGCGCUAUAUUUUCUGGCAAAAAAUCCAGAUAAACAAGAUAUUUUACGUGAGGAGCUAAGAACACUACUACCGCAUCACAAGUCACCACUGAAUGCUCAAAAUUACAACAACUUACCCUAUCUGCGUGCCUGCAUUAAAGAGUCGAUGCGCAUAAUGCCCAUCGUCUCGGGUACUAUGCGUCAAACUGGUCGUGAUCUGGUGCUCUCCGGCUAUAAGGUGCCGAAGGGUACCGCCGUGCACAUGCGAAAUAUGGAACUCUGCAAUUCGGAGAUGUUCUUUCCACGCUGCAAUGAAUAUCUACCGGAGCGUUGGUUGAAAACGCCCAAAAAUGUCUCGAAUCCUGUUGAAGAGGUUAAAUCGCAGAAUCCAUUCGUUUAUUUGCCUUUCGGUUUUGGACCGCGUACAUGCAUUGGUAAACGUUUAGCCGAUUUGGAAAUGGAAGUGCUGUUGGCACGCUUGUUACGUAAAUAUAAAAUCUCCUGGACCGAUGAGCAAAAUGAAAUGCAAUAUAAGAGUAAUCUAAUUCUAACGCCUUGCGGGGAAAUGAAAUUUAAAUUUGAGGAGGUGCAGUAGUUGAUAUUAUUAUUAGAUCUGAAGUGUGCAUAUUUUAAAGAUCAUACAUAGAUACAUGUAAAAAGCAAAGAACACCGCCAGGCAGAAUAUGUUUAUUACUUUCCUGUAAACAUUACCUAUACUCUUCGGCAAUCUUUCUAAAAGAAACAGAUACAAUUCACAAUUAUAAAUAUUGGGUAGUCGAAAAAGUUCCAUACAAUACAAUAAAAUAGGCUCCUGCGCCAAUACAAGCAAUCUA